AACGACCGUACCGCAAACCGACACUGGUGCGCGAGAUGAGUAUUCUAAGGCGCUUGAGAGAACUCAGGAGAAGGAACUCGGCAAAUUGACACCGUAACUUCGGAAGAAGGUGUGCCCUAUUAGUGUGAAGUGAACAACGGAGCAUGAAUGGGUUGCAAAAAAUCGGUGGCUGCGACUGUUUAUUAAAAACACAGCACUCUGCAAACACGAAAGUGGACGUAUAGGGUGUGACGCCUGCCCGGUGCUGGAAGAUUAAAUGAUGGGGUGCAAGCUCUUGAUUGAAGUCCCAGUAAACGGCGGCCGUAACUAUAACGGUCCUAAGGUAGCGAAAUUCCUUGUCGGGUAAGUUCCGACCUGCACGAAUGGCGUAACGAUGGCCACACUGUCUCCUCCUGAGACUCAGCGAAGUUGAAAUGUUUGUGAUGAUGCAAUCUCCCCGCGGAAAGACGGAAAGACCCCAUGAACCUUUACUGUAGCUUUGUAUUGGACUUUGAACAGAUCUGUGUAGGAUAGGUGGGAGGCUUUGAAGCUGGGUCGCUAGAUCUUGUGGAGCCAACGUUGAAAUACCACCCUGGUGUGUUUGAGGUUCUAACCUAGGUCCAUUAUCUGGAUCGGGGACAGUGCAUGGUAGGCAGUUUGACUGGGGCGGUCUCCUCCCAAAGCGUAACGGAGGAGUUCGAAGGUACGCUAGUUACGGUCGGACAUCGUGACGAUAGUGCAAUGGCAUAAGCGUGCUUAACUGCGAGACUGACAAGUCGAGCAGAUGCGAAAGCAGGACAUAGUGAUCCGGUGGUUCUGUAUGGAAGGGCCAUCGCUCAACGGAUAAAAGGUACUCUGGGGAUAACAGGCUGAUACCGCCCAAGAGUUCAUAUCGACGGCGGUGUUUGGCACCUCGAUGUCGGCUCAUCUCAUCCUGGGGCUGUAGCCGGUCCCAAGGGUAUGGCUGUUCGCCAUUUAAAGAGGUACGUGAGCUGGGUUUAAAACGUCGUGAGACAGUUUGGUCCCUAUCUUCCGUGGGCGCUGCAGAUUUGAGGAAGCCUGCUCCUAGUACGAGAGGACCGGAGUGGACACACCUCUGGUGUAUCGGUUGUCACGCCAGUGGCAUUGCCGAGUAGCUAAGUGUGGAAGAGAUAACCGCUGAAAGCAUCUAAGCGGGAAACUCGUUUCAAGAUGAGAUCUGCCGGGGCCUUGAGCCCCCUGAAGAGUCGUUCAAGACCAGGACGUUGAUAGGUCAGGUGUGGAAGCGCAGUAAUGCGUUAAGCUAACUGAUACUAAUUGCUCGUGCGGCUUGACCUG
rnacentral:rRNA from 1 species